rnacentral:rRNA from 1 species
AACGAACGCUGGCGACGUGGAUAAGACAUGCAAGUCGAACGAUCACUAUUGAGUAGCAAUAUUUGGUAGUGGGAGUGGCGCAAGGGUGCGUAACACGUGGGUAAUUUGCCGUAAAGUCUGGGAUAACUUGCUGAAAGGCGAGCUAAUACCGGAUGUGAUUGCUGGGGGGCAUCCUCUGGCACUUAAAGUCGGGGACCGCAAGGCCUGACACUUUUCGAUAAGCCCGCGGCCUAUCAGCUAGUUGGUGAGGUAACGGCUCACCAAGGCUAAGACGGGUAGCUGGUCUGAGAGGACGACCAGCCACACUGGAACUGAGACACGGUCCAGACACCUACGGGUGGCAGCAGUCGAGAAUUUUUCUCAAUGGGGGAAACCCUGAAGGAGCGACGCCGCGUGGGGGGAUGAAUGGCUUCGGCCCGUAAACCCCUGUCAUUUGCGAUCAAACCUUACGACCUAACACGUCGUAAGCUGAUAGUAGCGAAAGAGGAAGGGACGGCUAACUCUGUGCCAGCAGCCG